AUGUGACGGUUCCUGGUAGCUUCUGGUGUAGCGGUGAAAUGCGUAGAUAUCAGAAGGAACACCGAUGGCGAAGGCAACUUGCUGGCCUAAGAUUGACGCUGAAAAUGGAACUGAGACACGGUCC
rnacentral:rRNA from 1 species